UGACCUCUGCUUCCCGCCCAGGGCUCCCUGGUGUCCCGAGAGGCCAGCGACAAGGAGAAGGGCAAAGAGCUGCCCACGCUCAAGGACGUGGACUUCCUGAACAAGAGCGAGAAGGUCUACGUGGCCG